rnacentral:lncRNA from 10 species
CUGGGAUUACAGGCGUGAGCCACCGCGCCCGGCCCCGAGCUAUGUUUUAAUAAGAAUACUUUGCAUUGUGUUUUGUAACUUGCCUUUUAAAAAGUACUUAACUUCGCUGGAAAGAUUCCAUAGUAAAAAGAAAAAGAAAAAAAUACUCAACAAAGGUGCUAAGGGGACAAAGGUUCCUGGCCUCAGCACACUCUCAGAUUCACAGGGAGACAGAACUGAGACUGAGAGCUGGUUCCUCUCCCUCUCUCGUGGGGAUACAGUGAGAAGGCAGCUGGGCAGAAAUCAGGAAGAGGAUCCUUACCAAGAACUGCAGUGUGCUGCACCCUGAUCUAGACUUCCAGCCUGCGAAACUGUGAGAAAUCAAUGUCAUUGUUUGAGCAGCCUGGCAUAUGGUAUUGUGUUACAGCAACCCGAACCAAGACAAAGGUUCUCAGCUGGGGAGACAGAAACUCAUCUGGAGCCUGCACUCCCCCUGGGGAGGGGAAGAUGCCUGUCGACCUGGACAGAGGGCCUGGACAGAGGCAGCCCUGGGCUGAGUUGGCCCUUGCUUGCCGCUUCUCCUUGGGAGCACUGGGACAGGAUCCCAGAAGGUUCCAGAAUGCAUGUCAAGCAAGCAGCAGUCCCUGUGGAGUUUGGGGUAACAUGCACAGAGGAAGAAAUGGCGGAAAAGCAGCAUCAGGAUGGCUUUAGGGCAGGGAGCUGCUGGAAGGUGGCAGACAGAGUGAGCAGGGGCAGGAGAUGGGCCAGCGAGGCACCCGCUGACAUGGAAGUGCCGUCAUGCGCUGCACAGCAACCUUCCAGGCAAGGAGGGACACGUGCAUGACAGUGGUCCCAUGACUAUGAUGGAGCUGAAGAAUUCCUAUGGCCUAGGGAUGUCAUAGCCGUGGUACUGUCGUAGCACAGACGUCACUCGUGGGAGCGAUGGGCUAUGCCACCCAGCCUAGGGGUAAAUGAGGUGCACCUUCCAAGAGCCACCUAAUCACCAUUUCCCAGAAUGCAUCCUUGUUGUUAAGGGGCCCGUGACUGUAUGUCUUGGGAAGCAACACGUGACUGUUGUCCCGCCCUGCACUGACUGCCCAGCGAGCGCUCAGAAUGCAUUAGAUAUGGGGUGGACAGAGGAGGAGGACAGCACCAGCACCCAGACAGCAACUUCCCUUGGAAUCACCAUUUCCUGAACCAGGGGAUCUCCCCAGCCACCCACACCAAAGCCUAAACUCUCAUACCUCCUCUCUCUAAAGCAGGGGUCUGCAAGCUUUCUCUGCAAGGGCCACGUACAGAAUCUUUUCAGUUUUGUCGGAAGUACCCACGUCUGCCCUUUUGGUGCCAAAGCCAGUAAAGGUGACACAUAAUGAGAGGGAGGCGCCGUGUGCCAAUGGGACAUGUGUGCCAAUGGGACUUGACUCACAGACACCAACAUUUGAAUUUCAUCUAAUUUUUACAUGUCAUGAAAUAUUAUUCUUUUUAUUUUUUUAACCAGUAAAAAAUGUUCUUAGCUCGCUGGGCUGGAGAGAAAUAGGUUGCAGGCUGGAUUUGGCCUGAGGGUAGUUUGCUGACCAAGGGAAAGGGAAAAAACCAAACUUGCUCUAACCCACCUCUCUCCCUCCAGUCCCAUGCAGUCCCACUUUCCUUAUUUUUUUAUUUUUUAUUUUUAUUUUAUUUUAUUUUUUUGAGACAGGGUCUUGCUCUGUCG